rnacentral:rRNA from 1 species
GUGUACGGUCAUGCCACCCUGAACAAGCCGGAUCCCGUCUGAUCUCGGAAGCUAAGCAGGGUCGGGCCUGGUUAGUACUUGGAUGGGAGAACACCUAGGAAGACCAGGUGCUGUAUGCA